AAUUGGUUGCCCUCCUGUCCGUCAGAGGUGCAGUCCCACAGGGGGCGUGCCGCCGUUUUCGCGUUUGCCUCGCUGGGUGACUCCGCUUGUUUGUCGGCUGCAUGAGUGCCUAGAGGUUUUCGGUGGAAGAUGCCGGACAGUAACUUCGCAGAGCGCAGCGAGGAACAGGUGUCUGGUGCUAAAGUCAUCGCCCAGGCCCUGAAAACGCAAGAUGUGGAGUACGUAUUUGGAAUCGUAGGCAUCCCAGUGACCGAAAUUGCCAUUGCUGCCCAGCAGCUAGGCAUCAAGUACAUCGGGAUGAGGAAUGAGCAAGCGGCUUGUUAUGCUGCCUCCGCGAUUGGAUAUCUGACAGGCAGGCCAGGAGUCUGCCUUGUUGUUUCUGGCCCAGGUCUCAUCCACGCCUUGGGUGGUAUGGCAAAUGCAAACGUGAACUGCUGGCCCUUGCUUGUGAUUGGUGGUUCCCCUGAAAGAAACCAAGAAACGAUGGGAGCUUUCCAGGAGUUUCCUCAGGUUGAAGCUUGUAGAUUAUAUACCAAGUUCUCUGCCCGUCCAAGCAGCAUAGAAGCUGUUCCUUUUGUUAUUGAAAAGGCAGUGAGAAGCAGUAUCUAUGGUCGUCCAGGUGCUUGCUAUGUUGACAUACCAGCAGAUUUUGUGAACCUUCAGGUGAAUGUGAGUUCUAUAAAGCACGUGGAGCGCUGCAUGUCACCUCCUAUUAGCAUGGCAGAAACCUCUGCUGUGUGCACGGCAGCUUCUGUUAUUAAGAAUGCCAAACAGCCCCUUCUUAUCAUCGGGAAAGGUGCUGCUUAUGCUCAUGCAGAAGAGAGUAUCCAGAAAUUGGUGGAGCAAUAUAAACUGCCAUUUUUGCCCACCCCUAUGGGGAAGGGUGUUGUCCCUGACAACCAUCCAUACUGUGUAGGUGCAGCCAGAUCCAGGGCUUUGCAAUUUGCUGAUGUAAUUGUGUUAUUUGGUGCCAGACUAAAUUGGAUUUUACAUUUUGGACUGCCUCCAAGAUACCAGCCAGAUGUGAAGUUUAUCCAGGUUGAUAUCUGUGCAGAAGAAUUGGGUAAUAAUGUGAAGCCGGCUGUUACUUUACUAGGAGACAUAAAUGCUGUCACUAAGCAGCUUUUAGAGGAAUUUGAUAAAACACCAUGGCAGUAUCCUCCAGAGAGCAAGUGGUGGAAAACUCUGAGAGAAAAAAUGAAGAGCAAUGAAGCUGCAUCCAAGGAACUAGCUUCCAGAGAAUCUCUGCCUAUGAAUUAUUACACAGUAUUCUACCAUGUUCAAGAGCAACUACCUAGAGACUGCUUUGUGGUAAGCGAAGGAGCAAAUACUAUGGACAUUGGACGGACUGUGCUUCAGAACUACCUUCCUCGCCACAGGCUUGAUGCUGGUACUUUCGGAACAAUGGGAGUUGGUUUAGGAUUUGCUAUUGCAGCUGCCAUGGUGGCUAAAGAUAGAAGCCCUGGGCAACGGGUCAUCUGUGUGGAAGGAGACAGUGCAUUUGGGUUUUCUGGCAUGGAGGUGGAAACCAUCUGCAGGUACAACUUGCCAAUCAUACUCUUGGUAGUGAAUAACAAUGGAAUUUACCAAGGUUUUGAUACCGAUACUUGGAAAGAAAUGUUAAAAUUCCAAGAUGCUGCUUCAGUGGUCCCUCCAAUGUGUUUGCUGCCAAAUUCACAUUAUGAGCAAGUCAUGACUGCAUUUGGAGGAAAAGGGUAUUUUGUAAAAACACCAGAAGAACUCCAAAAGUCCCUGAGGCAGAGCCUAGCAGACACAGCUAAACCCUCUCUUAUCAACAUCAUGAUUGAGCCACAAGCCACACGGAAGACCCAGGGAAGGCUUCUCAGGGGAGAUGAUUCUUAAACGGAAAUCAGAAGGAUAAGCAGAGACUAACUCGGCAAAGGGGAGAUGGAAGAGAUGUGCAAAAGGCUCUGUAGCAAGAGGAAAGAGAAAGCAUGGCAAGUCUGAGGAAGAGGGAGAUGCAACUCUAAUACGAGGAUUUGUGCAGGAUUUUCAUUGGCUGACCCGCUCUAAUAUGUAAAUAAAGAUGCCAGUUGGUGGUCUUGAGUUUUCUCUUUCUUGCAAGAUGAAAUUUUAUUUUCCACAGCAAAAUUACUCUACUGUUAAAAUUGUGCAAAAUAAAAUAAACAUUUUAAAAUGACAUUUUACAGUAAAGGAAUUGAUUAAAAACAGAAAAAGUUAGAAAAAGUAACAGAAAAAGUUAUUCUGCCACAAAACUACUUACAGAUGAAUGGAGAGCUUUUAUUAAAUAAUAGCGUUGUAACUGCCUAAA